rnacentral:rRNA from 1 species
UACGGGGGGGGCAAGCGUUGUUCGGAAUACUGGGCGUAAAGAGCGUGUAGGCGGCCAGACAAGUCCGUUGUGAAAACUAGAGGCUUAACCUCUAGACGUCGAUGGAAACUGUUUGGCUAGAGUCCGGAAGAGGAGAAUGGAAUUCCUGGUGUAGCGGUGAAAUGCGCAGAUAUCAGGAAGAACACCCGUGGCUAAGGCGGUUCUCUAGUACGGUACUGACGUGACGUACGACGAAGCGCG